GCUCAGGAUGAACGCUGGCGGCGUGCUUAACACAUGCAAGUUGGACGGGAAUACUCGAGGAAGAGACUUCGGUUAAUUUUUUGGGUAUGAGAGUAGCGGACGGGUGAGUAAUACAUAAGAAUCUAUCCAUCAGAGGGGGACAACUGCGGGAAACCGGAGCUAAUACCCCGUAAGCCGGAAGGUGAAAGGGAGCAAUCCGCUGAUGGAGGAGCUUGUGUCCUAUCAGGUAGUUGGUGAGGUAAGAGCUCACCAAGCCGAAGACGGGUAGCCGGACUGAGAGGUUGUACGGCCACAUUGGAACUGAGAGACGGUCCAGACUCCUACGGGAGGCAGCAGUA
rnacentral:rRNA from 1 species